CCUACGGGCGGCAGCAGUAGGGAAUCUUUCACAAUGGGCGAAAGCCUGAUGGAGCAACGCCGCGUGCAGGAUGAAGGCCUUCGGGUUGUAAACUGCUUUUAUAAGCGAGCAAUAUGAUGGUAACUUAUGAAUAAGGAUCGGCUAACUACGUGCCAGCAGCCGCGGUCAUACGUAGGAUCCGAGCAUUAUCCGGAGUGACUGGGUGUAAAGAGUUGCGUAGGUGGCAUAAUAAGUAGCUAGUGAAAUCUGGUGGCUCAACCAUUCAGACUAUUAGCUAAACUGUUAAGCUCGAGAACGUGAGGGGUAACUGGAAUUUCUAGUGUAGGAGUGAAAUCCGUAGAUAUUAGAAAGAACACCAAUAGCGUAGGCAGGUUACUGGGACGGGUCUGACACUAAGGCACGAAAGCGUAGGGAGCAAACGGGAUUAGAUACCCCAGUAGUC
rnacentral:rRNA from 1 species